rnacentral:rRNA from 1 species
UGGGGAAUAUUGCACAAUGGGCGCAAGCCUGAUGCAGCCAUGCCGCGUGUAUGAAGAAGGCCUUCGGGUUGUAAAGUACUUUCAGCGGGGAGGAAGGGAGUAAAGUUAAUACCUUUGCUCAUUGACGUUACCCGCAGAAGAAGCACCGGCUAACUCCGUGCCAGCAGCCGCGGUAAUACGGAGGGUGCAAGCGUUAAUCGGAAUUACUGGGCGUAAAGCGCACGCAGGCGGUUUGUUAAGUCAGAUGUGAAAUCCCCGGGCUCAACCUGGGAACUGCAUCUGAUACUGGCAAGCUUGAGUCUCGUAGAGGGGGGUAGAAUUCCAGGUGUAGCGGUGAAAUGCGUAGAGAUCUGGAGGAAUACCGGUGGCGAAGGCGGCCCCCUGGACGAAGACUGACGCUCAGGUGCGAAAGAGGGGGGAGCAAACAGG